UGUGUGUGUGUGUGUGUGUGUGUGUGUCUAGGAAAGAGGCUCCAACAGGAAGAGGGAUUUGGAACAAGGCUUUAUGCAGAUAAAACCAACUACAGAGCUGGGCCACUUUUCAGGGAGCUUGGGAUUUUUCUUAUAUAGAAGACAAUUCCAGAUGGAAACAUAAGCCUUUUCUUGACUCAGCUGUUGCUCUCCUUACAGGGGCCUCAGAGUCUGAUCACCCAGCACAGAGACUUCUCAGGACGUGCCACAUCAAGGAAGGCUGCAGAUGCAUCCGAUGGAAGAAGGGGAAGUGUUUUCUUGCUGACCGCCUUGCUCGCUUCCUGUGCCUAGAGCGAUGGAAUGCUUCUGAGCUAUCAGAUGACUUGUGGAGGUCUGGUAUUUUCUAUCUUUGCCUCUACUGCUAUCCGCCACUUCCAGAGAUGUACUAGCUGAGCUUGUAGAUCUGAUUUAUGGAGGGUUUCUAAAGACA
rnacentral:lncRNA from 1 species